CCUACGGGAGACAGCAGUGGGGAAUAUUGCUCAAUGGGGGAAACCCUGAACCAGCGACGCCGCGUGAAGGAUGAAGGCCUUAGGGUUGUAAACCUCUUUUGUGAGAGAAGAAAAUGACGGUAUCUUACGAAGAAGCACCUGCUAACUCCGUGCCAGCAGCCUCGGUAAUACGGAGGGUGCAAGCGUUAUCCGGAUUUACUGGGCGUAAAGAGAUCGCAGGCGGGUUUGUAAGUCAGGUGUGAAAUCCUGGGGCCUAACUGCAGAACUGCAUUUGAAACUGUGAGGCUGGAGUGCAGGAGAGGUAGGUGGAAUUCGUGGUGUAGGGGUAAAAUGCGUAGAUAUCAAGAGGAACACUCAUUGCGAAGGCGACCUACUGGACCGUAACUGACGCUGAUGCACGAAAGCGUGGGGAGCAAACAGGAUUAGAUACCCGAGUAGUC
rnacentral:rRNA from 1 species